rnacentral:lncRNA from 1 species
GUCUCGCUGCAGUACGUCACUGAUAAAGGCACUCAACGUUGGGGAUGACUUCUUUCGGCUCGAGCUACGGAGUUGCUUCUGCCCAACCCGAUUUUGGAACUCGUUCACUCACCGGUACAGGAGUACGGCGUUUACCGUAGGGCCACCGGCAAUAACUGAGUGAAUCCUUGGAGGUAGCAGGAUCCUAUGGAUCUAGAUGGGCCUGGCACGCCGCGGUCUGCCAGCAGGCGGAUCGUCGCGAGCUGGCGGGAGACUGGUUUGGGUGACGUUCAAUGAGAUUUGGCGGGUUCUGAGGGAGGGUGGACUUACAGGAAGGUAGGGAGAGGGAGUUAAGUGUUUAUAAUUAGUAAUUUGAAGUGUGUGUGUGUGUGCGCGCGCGCGUUGGUACUGAACUUAUAGGCAGUUGUGAGCUACCAUGAUGUGGGUGCUGAUAAUGGAGUUUACAUUCUCUGCAAGUUUUAUGUGUUUUUAACUGAUGAGCCAUUUCUGUAUUCCCCCCUCCUUACUCUUACAUUUGUUUUCCUAUUUUAUGUGUUUUGUCUGCAUGUUUAUGGACUACAUGCGUGCAUUGCCCACAAAGGCCAGAAGAAGUUGUGGGAUUCCCUGGAACUGGAGCAACCAACAGUUUGUGUGCACCAUGUGGGUAAUGGGAAUCGAACCUGGGUCCUCUAUAAGACUGGCCAGUGCUCUUAACUACUGAGGUGCAUUUCUUUCGGAAUUGAUUCACAUAACUAUUAUGCUAUACUGUUUGAAGUAUUUAUUAGAAAAACAUCAGAAAGAGGUUUGGACCACUUUCAUUUACAUGAAGAAAUAUCUUAGGGGUUCUUUUCAGGUAUCUUUGAGUAUCUUCUGACACUAGAAGAUCCUGUAAACUCUACAGACUUCAACAGAAUUGAAGAACCUGGACAGAGCAGAGUUACCAACAAGAGAGCCCAGGGAUAGCAUUAACAUGGUGGUUACUCAAGACCUAACUCAGCCAGGGAGACAUACCAAGGCCUAUGAGGUGAAGGGAAAAGAAGGGUGACCCAAAGGGCAGGAAUUUUUUAUCCUGAACUUUUGAGCCUUAUAGAAAAACAUAAUUUGUUGGGCAUGUUUUCUGACCCUCAUACAGUUUUUACAACCAUUUGAAGAUAUAGUUCUAGCUCUAGUAGGCUCUACAGGAAGGUAUAUCAAACUUUUUAACAGAACACUUUAUUAUUUUAAAUAUAUGAGUAUUUCACCUGCAUAGGCGCACAGUACCCACAGAGACUAGAAGAGGGUGGCAGAUCUCCUGAGACUGGAGUUAAUGCUUGUGAGCUGCCAUGUGGAUGCUGGAAAUCAAACCCAGGUCCUUUGGAAGGCAGGCAGGUGCUCUUAAUCAUGGAAGCAUCUCUUCAGCUCCUACCCUAGUUCUUUAAUUUUGUUUUAAAUUUUUGAGGUAGGGUUUUGCUAAGUUACUUGGGCUGGCCUUGGACUAGUAACCAUUCUGUGUCAGCCUUCUGGGAUUAGAGGUAUGUGCUAGCAUGUCUAGCAUCUUUCUAUUUCUUUGGUUUUCCUUCUAAUUAAUUAAAAAAUACAUUAUCUUCUAAAUCUUUUAUUGUA